ACGGGAGGCAGCAGUGGGGAAUAUUGCACAAUGGGCGCAAGCCUGAUGCAGCGAUGCCGCGUGAGGGAAGAAGGUUUUCGGAUUGUAAACCUCUGUCAUCGGGGACGAUAAUGACUGUACCCGAGAAGGAAGCUCCGGCUAACUACGUGCCAGCAGCCGCGGUAAUACGUAGGGAUCGAGCGUUAUCCGGAAUUACUGGGUGUAAAGGGAGUGUAGGCGGGACUGUAAGUCAGAUGUGAAAUAUGCCGGCACAACUGGAAGACUGCAUUUGAAGCUGCGGUUCUUGAGUGAAGUAGAGGUAAGCGGAAUUCCUAGUGUAGCGGUGAAUUGCGUAGAUAUUAGGAGGAACAUCAGUGGCGAAGGCGGCUGACUGGGCUUUAACUGUCGCUGAGGCUCGAAAGCGUGUGGAGCAAACAGGAUUAGAGACCCUGGUA
rnacentral:rRNA from 1 species